rnacentral:rRNA from 11 species
AUGAAAGACCUAAAUACUCUAAAGGCACCAGAUUUUAUCUGACAUUGGAUGCUAAGUAGAGUAAGCUCUGGUUAGUCCUUGGAUGGCAGAUCACCAAUGAAUAUCAGUUGCUGUUGGCU